ensembl:snRNA LOC120099618 U6 spliceosomal RNA
GUGCUCACUUCAGCAGCACAUAUACUAAAAUUGAAACGAUACAGAGAUGAUUAGCAGGGACCCCGCAAGGAUGACAUGCAAAUUCAUGAAAUAAUAAAUAAAAUA